UGAGCAUGAUGUUUGAACAUAAUUCACAACUGAAUUCACAAAGCAGUAACAGGUAACUGCGCAGCAGACUUUCAGAUCAGUUCAAUACAUUUUUCAGUCGAAAGUGCAUUACAGGAGCCCAGAGAUGAUCAAAAAUUGAGAGCAGAAGAAAUUUGAGGCUGACCAGGAUCCUGAAGUGAGGAGCAGUCCCUUUCCCAUUUAACAGCAUUCAUGAGCAGAAAAUGGGGAAGCAGAAAUGCUGAGACAGUUCAGAAGAAACAUCACCAGAAGCCACAGCAACAGCAAAGGAAGCUUAUAUGGAAGUAUUUUUGAUUUUCUCCCUUCUUUCCCCUACCCCCUGGCCCCUGCUGACUCUAACAUAACUAACCAUCCCCUUCCCUUUCCCCCUCAUUCGUCUUCCUGAAUUCACUGUCAUUGUUUUCUGAUUUUUCAACGAAUUGUGUUGUACUGAUUUUAUUCACUUGAAUUUUUGUGAUUUGUUGCAUUGUUUUGAAGUCUUACUAAUCUUGUGCCAGUUUAUACUUUCAGGGACUCGGAAGAGGAACAACGAUGGAGGAGCAAGGUCGACCAACAGAAGAAGACGAGAUGACGAGUCCAUUUCCCAUCUCUAUACAGCAGCCAACAUGGCCCAAAGUGGUAAGUAACUUUUCGUGAUUUGUUGCAUUCUUUUGAAGUUUUACUAACAUUGUGCCAGUUUUAUACUUUCAGGGACUGGGAAGAGGAACAACGAUGGAGGAGCAGGGUCGACCAACAGAGGAAGACGAGAUGACGAGUCCAUUUCCCAUCUCUA